rnacentral:rRNA from 1 species
CAGCAGCCGCGGUAAUACGUAGGUGGCAAGCGUUGUCCGGAAUUAUUGGGCGUAAAGGGCCCGCAGGCGGUUUCUUAAGUCUGAUGUGAAAGCCCACGGCUCAACCGUGGAGGGUCAUUGGAAACUGGAAAACUUGAGUGCAGAAGAGGAAAGUGGAAUUCCAUGUGUAGCGGUGAAAUGCGCAGAGAUAUGGAGGAACACCAGUGGCGAAGGCGACUUUCUGGUCUGUAACUGACGCUGAUGUGCGAAAGCGUGGGGAUCAAACAGGAUUAGAUACCCCUGUAGUCCCUGUCUUUAUACA